rnacentral:lncRNA from 1 species
UCAAAUAAGGGAAGUGAACUAAAAAUGUUCCAUUUUAUAUAUACAACUGUUUAAAUAUACAAAAGUAAUACUAAAUGUAUGUCAAAGGAGAAUAAAAUAGUCGAUGUAGGAAAAUAAAGCAUGACUAUAAAUCUAAGGUGAGGCGGGAUAACAUCUCUAAGUAUUCAGCCGUCUCGACAGUCGGAGGAGCGACCCUGAGCACAUGCUCCAACAUCUCAACACGUCUUAAGAGCUCUACUGUUGACCUAAAAAUCCCCUCCUGACUCUGAAUGACAUCUCGAGUAGGAUCAGUAAGCUUAUUCGCAAAAGAUCAUACUGAAUUUCUCUCGGCUACAACCUCAUCUCUGAUAGUGAGGGUCACAUCCCUAUCAGCAUUGGCAACAUCCCUACCUGCCAAGAUAAUCAACAUCAAAGCCUGAGCCUAAUCCCGCUCAAAUGUUAGAAGAUAAACUUGAUGAUCCAAUACCUCCCCAUAUGUUGGAAUAGAACUUGGAGCUGCACUAAUCAAUGCCACAGACAAACCAUCAAACAGCUCAUCCUCGAUCAGAGAUAUAGGACCCUCAAUUUGCUCCUCUUUAUCAAAGACCAACCUUCAACCUCCGCCUAAUAAACUACAUCCAAGGUUAAGUCAGUCUCUAACUAGGCUGAAUACUCUGUCGAUCGGCCAAGAUAACCUUCUCUAAAAUAUGUCAUCUGCAGGUGAGACCAAAAACUGUAGACAUGAGCCAAAUCGUCCUCAAUAGCCGAGCAAAUGGGGAAACGAUAAUCCUCAAUCCCCUUAAACAAAUGGACCUCCUUGUGUUGAUCUAACAGGCCCAUCACCGCCAGAGGAUGAUAGGUAGCCAACCCCUAAAACCGGCUAAAGGGGUGAAGUCCAAAUGAACCUCAUCGAUGGCAAAACUCAGGAAGGAACAAUAUCCAAUGUACAUGAUACUCUCAAAAAGAUCCUCCAUACUAUCAAAAAAAAUCAGUCCAAGAUGUGGCAUCUAUAAGCGAAGAUGGGAAGAGAGAAUUUGUCAAUGUCAUGCUGUGACCGAAGCAAAACCCGUGCCAACGGAGCUGACCAAUCAGUGUCAGAUGGGUCAUAAACAAAAAUAAAAGAGGACGGGGCUACCUUUGAACUUCUGAUCCCUAACCGUCUGGCAGAAAGAUGCUAAUAUCAAUAUCUCGGCCAAUAUAAGGGGAAGGAAAGUAAAGUCAUCCCAGAGAGCCCUAACGACCAUCAACAUCCCAACGUCUAGGUGAUCGACAUAAAAGGGCAUGUACAAAUAUGUCAAGACACACAUAAUCAGGGCAUCUACCCAUGUUGUCUACCACCUCUCCUUGGAAAGGGCAAAAUCUCCCUGAUGGAUGACGAAGUUAUCAGCGAAAACAAAACCGUCUAUAAGAAAGUCCAUCGAGAUGAUAUAGCUACCACCCACCUCUGCCAAAACUACCGACCUCCUCAAACCGGUAGUGGUCAUGAACUGGAGGCACAUAUGCCCCACCAUUACCCUGGCAUAAGGGUCGUCCAUCGACAAACUUGAAAUAUGGCCAUACUCCUCUAAAGUGGGGGUCAACUAAUCAGAUACAAAUCUAAAAAUAUGGGACUCUGGAUCCAAUAAGUAAGCAUCCCAUCAACAAAUCCAUCCGACACCUGGAAGGAUAAGAGAUACAUGGAGUGGCCCAACAUCUGACCCACAGUAAUAUGAUCAGAAUCCGACAAGGUGUCAUGCCAACCUCUCAAGUUGGUCUCUAUCUGAUUUAGCAGAAGAUGCUCUAGACGAUCAAUCGAUGAAGAACACAUCUGUAAAAAUAGUAUCAAAGACUAUACAGGGGUCAAAUCUCUAUCUAAUCAUUUACAAAUAUAUAAAGCGUACAAAUAUAUAAGCAUGCAUCAUGAUAAACGAUAUGUACAAUAUAUACAAUAAAUAAAUAAAAAGACAUCACACACACACACAUAUGGAAUAGAUCAGGUUUUAUAUGUACAUCAAGCAUUCAUCUUUAUGAUACAUUAAAAAUGAAAAAUAAAAAAAUACAAGAUAAUGGGGCACAUACACCCAACAACUAGCAAAAGCUUAUGAAAUGAACUCUACGCUAUCCAUAAAGGUACUGGAGUCAUUAAAAUAGUAAAACAGAGCCAGAUCUUCUGUAGUAGGCAUAUCAUGCAUAUAUGGGCGAUAGAAUAUGGGAUCUCCCACGUCAGCAAAGCCACUAGUGCCAGAUGGACCAGCCUCAAACCCUGAGGGAUCAAAAGUAUCAGCCUUGAAUGGAUUCCUGCCCAAAUGGCGAAUGAAGAGGGACAUUCGAUCAACCCACUGUGUCAACUCUACUAUUUGAGACAGAUGAGUUGGCUCCUAGACACAAGCCAUCCAGUCAUUCAUCAUCACAGACCCUGGAACUAUGUCCCCUAAAAGCUAGGUAGCACGGGUCUGAGCAUCGAUAGUACGGGCACCCACCAAAGGGAAAAAGCAGUUGAAGUGCUAGGGCCAUCCGACAAUAGGAACCCAUCAUGACCAUCUAAAGGGAUCUCUGAGAGGGGCUGAGCUAGAGGCCAAAAUCGUUGAGCAGGAGGAAGAAAAGGAAUGUGAAUCUCCCCUAAAACACAUUUGAAGGCACUGUCCCCAAGGUAGAUGAUGAUUGGGUUUUAUACCUAUUAUUUGAAUACUUUUAAGCUUAAUAAUUUGUGAGAGUUUAAGUAUGUUAUGUUAUUUGAUAUUAUUUUUAUUAUUUUUAUUUUAUUUUGUAUGAAAAAAGGAAAUUCAAUGGCAAAAUCAUAAAUAAUUUAAGUUAGAAUGCAAGGAAGGAAAUUAAUGAGCCAAUAAAAGUUUUGGAAAAGGAAUGUUGUUAUAGUAGUUUAUUAAAAUUAGGAUAUUAUGUAUGUCAAUUUAAUUAGGAUUUUAAUUCUAUUAGGGUUAGGAAAAUUAAACUCCUACAAAUAGUCUUAUUUUUGGAUUGUAGAAGGUAUUGGGAAAAAGCCAAUGAACACCAUGUACGGCUAAUUUUCUUCCAAGUUCAAGGGCAAACAAGAUAUCAUCAAAGAUGGAGGCUAUGGAUUAAUGAAUCUUGGAGAUAGAAGACUUGUGGGAGACUGUUUUUCUUCCCUAAACCUUUAUUUUUUUAUCUUUCAUUGAUGUGG